rnacentral:misc_RNA from 1 species
UCUCCGUAGGGGAACCUGAGGAUGGAUCAUUACUGAGUGAGGGCUCACGCCCGACCUCCAACCCUUUGUGAACCAAACUUGUUGCUUCGGGGGCGACCCUGCCGACGACUCCGUCGCCGGGCGCCCCCGGAGGCUCAUCAAACACUGCAUCUCUGCGUCGGAGUCUUAAUGAAUUUAAACAAAACUUUUAACAACGGAUCUCUUGGUUCUGGCAUCGAUGAAGAACGCAGC